UACAGAGGGUGCGAGCGUUACUCGGAAUUACUGGGCGUAAAGCGCGCGUAGGCGGCUUCGCAAGUCGGGUGUGAAAUCCCCAGGCUUAACCUGGGAACUGCAUUCGAGACUGCGUUGCUAGAGUAUGGGAGAGGGAAGUGGAAUUUCCGGUGUAGCGGUGAAAUGCGUAGAGAUCGGGAGGAAGGCCGGUGGCGAAGGCGGCGCUCUGGAACAUUUCUGACGCUGAGGCUCGAAAGCGUGGGGAGCAAACAGG
rnacentral:rRNA from 1 species